rnacentral:rRNA from 1 species
CAGUCGCCACGGGAAUACGUAGGUGGCAAGCGUUGUCCGGAAUUAUUGGGCGUAAAGGGCUCGCAGGCGGUUUCUUAAGUCUGAUGUGAAAGCCCCCGGCUCAACCGGGGAGGGUCAUUGGAAACUGGGAAACUUGAGUGCAGAAGAGGAGAGUGAAAUUCCACGUGUAGCGGUGAAAUGCGUAGAGAUGUGGAGGAACACCAGUGGCGAAGGCGACUCUCUGGUCUGUAACUGACGCUGAGGAGCGAAAGCGUGGGGAGCGAACAGGAUUAGAUACCCCUGUAGUCCCUGUCUCUUAUAA